rnacentral:misc_RNA from 1 species
GAAAUGCGAUAAGUAAUGUGAAUUGCAGAAUUCAGUGAAUCAUCGAAUCUUUGAACGCACCUUGCGCUCCUUGGUAUUCCUUGGAGCAUGCCUGUUUGAGUAUCAUGAAAUCUUCAAAGUAAAUCUUUUGUUAACUCACUUGGUUUCUACUUUGGUAUUGGAGGUCUUUGCAGCUUCACACCUGCUCCUCUUUGUUCAUUAGCUGGAUCUCAGUGUUAUGCUUGGUUCCACUCGGCGUGAUAAGUUAUCUAUCGCUGAGGACACUGUAAAAGGUGGCCAGGGUAAAUGCAGAUGAACCGCUUCUAAUAGUCCAUUGACUUGGACAAUACUUUUAUGAUCUGAUCUCAAAUCAGGUAGGACUACCCGCUGAACUUAAGC